AACACUCAAACGCCACCAAUAAUUCACAUUAGCAAAUAAAAUAGUGAUAUCGAAUCAUGUUCACAAUCACAUGAGAAUUAAAAAAAAAAAGAAUUGGACCUCAAUACCACUUUCAAUCAAGUAUUACUCGAUUAAACAAGAUGGAUUCCACAUCGGAAACCUCGAAUCAAACUUCACCAAAAACCCACCAACUCGAAUCAAAACACCAAAAGGAGACCAACCCCAAAACAGUCUUCUCAAAUCAAAAACCAAAACCAAAACAAAUCUGACCAAAAAAUAGAAAACUUAUGAUUUUCGACUCCUAGUAUUGAUGGUGUUAUGGAUGGACUGUUAUGGGCUCACCGGAGCUCCGGCAAGCUCAAAUGAUUAGAUUUUUUUUGAAUUACAAAGAGGUUGUGUCGCUGUUUUUAAAAGGGAAGCUGGAGGAUGGUCGAUUUGGAUUUUUUUGGUCGGCUUUUUGCAUGUAUUUACCAUUUUUUGAUGAAUAAAAUGAUCGCUGAGUCAGUUGAUCGGGCCGUCUCUCUGGCAGAGAGUGUCGAACUGUUGGCGUUCUCAUUUCUCUCCUUUUUUGUCAACUUCGGUAAUGUGUCGAUCGAAUUUUGCGAUUAAACGAUAAUUCCAGUAAAACACUUCAUUGGAGACAGCGGAACAAGCGGUUCUUCCUCUUUUCUAGUCACUACUCUCCCUUGCCUCUCUUCGUUUUUUAUCUUCUCCCUUCAUUCACCUAUAUCCGACUAUCUCCCUCUGUUUUCUCCGAUUCUCUCCAAUUUUUACUCUAGUUUUUUGUUUGUGGGUCUGUAUAGUAUGUGUAUUGUAUAUUCUCUUGUGGGUGAAUUCUAUUUGAGUUUGUUAUGGAAAACAAAGGGGAAAAACGUGAGGUGAUGAAGGUAUAUGGGG
rnacentral:lncRNA from 1 species